GUCCGACUGGCUCAGUCAGAAGAGCAUGCGACCUUUGAUCUCAGGGUUGUGAGUUCGAGCCCCACGUUGGGUG
rnacentral:tRNA from 1 species